CCAGUAGCUGGGGGGGAGCAGGUUUACUGCCGAUGGGCGGGACAGAUGCUUGAUGAAGCAAGUGAUUUUCCCUUACUGUCAGCAUGUCGCUUCUGUUCACCUCUGGAGAACUCAGGACAGAAGGGCAUGUGACCUGGAUUGGAAGGAGAGAGGAUAGUAGCUCAAGGGAAUAACUAGGCGUGGAGAAAGGCUCAGUAAUCUGAUGAAAAGGCAUGCAUCUUUAAUCUGGAGCCAAUGACAAGCACAUUUGAAUGACUGUGGACAGGAUAAGAGAUCAGUGAUUUUUUUGGAGAGUUUUCCAGGACGGUGGAAAGUCAGAAGUUGGUGCUUGCUUCUUGAUGAAGUUGUAAAAUGCCUCCUCAUCUUCCUCUCUUCCUAUGGGCCACCUGACUCCACUAGCACAGGCAUGGGAUUGUACCCUUUCCCUGGAAGUAAGUCAUUCAAGAGGAGGUUCAUUCAUUUGAGCAGAUUUGUCAACAUCAGUAUGCAAAGAAGAUACUGGUUUGCCAUGCUGGUCUCUACUGAUUCAAAAAAGCACUGCCCGUCUUGAACAGAUACAGUGUCUCCUAUGAGCUGGGAAAGGAAUAUUGAGGUUGCUUUGAAAUGACAUCUUAAAGGGCAUUUCUAUUCUGUCUAAGCUGUUCAAGUGUAGAAGUCAAGAGCUUAAAACCUACAUAAGGACUUGGUGAAGGCUGAUGUGUGGGGGGGAGGGGCACAUGUGUGUAUAUCCUGCCAUACUCACUCACACCCCCCCAAAAGAUGAGUACACUUCUAGACUUUCUCAGAGACAGUUCCACACCCUCCACUAAUUAUGAGUUCCAGGAGCUUACAAAAUUUAUUGUUAAGAAGUUAAAAUUUUCAGUAACGUUUAUUCAUUUUCUGUGUGUUCCAAAUACAGUGCAAACUCAUGCAGAGCUUGUAAACUAGUAUGCUCAUACGUGGGCCUCUGUGCUAACGAACUUCUGCCU